CCUACGGGGGGCAGCAGUGAGGAAUAUUGGUCAAUGGGCUUACGCCUGAACCAGCCAAGUCGCGUGAGGGAAGACUGCCCUAUGGGUUGUAAACCUCUUUUGUCAGGGAGCAAUUGGCGCUACGUGUAGCGUUAUCGAGAGUACCUGAAGAAAAAGCAUCGACUAACUCCGUGCCAGCAGCCGCGUAAAUACGGGGGACGCGAGCUUUAUCCGGAUUAUUUGGGUUUAAAGGAUCCGUAGGCGGAAUGCCAAGUCAGCGGUAAAAUUGCGGGGCUCAACCUCGCUCCGCAGUUGAUACUGGCGUUCUUGAGUGGGCGAGAGGUAUGCGGAAUGCGUGGUGUAGCGGUGAAAUGCAUAGAUAUCACGAAGAACUCCGAUUGCGAAGGCAGCAUACCGGCGCCCAACUGACGCUGAAGCACGAAAGCGUGGGUAUCGAACAGGAUUAGAUACCCGGGUAGUC
rnacentral:rRNA from 1 species